rnacentral:rRNA from 1 species
UACGUAGGGGGCAAGCGUUGUCCGGAUUUAUUGGGCGUAAAGCGCGCGUAGGCGGCGCGGUAUGUCGUGCGUGAAAUCUCCCGGCUUAACUGGGAGGGGCCGUGCGAAACUGCCGGGCUUGAGGUCGGAAGGGGAAAGUGGAAUUCCGGGUGUAGUGGUGGAAUACGUAGAUAUCCGGAGGAACACCAGCGGCGAAGGCGGUUGCCUGGGGCUUUGCUGACGCUGAUGCGCGAAAGCGUGGGGAGCGAUCCGG